UGUUAAUCCUACGUUUUUUUUUUGGAUUUCUCAUUUAUUAUGAAAACCUUUUGUGGAAAUCAAAAAAUGACUUUUUUAAAGUACCAUCCAAGUCAGAUUUUCUUUUAGAAAAGGCGUGAUACUUGAAAAUCGGAGCAAUAUUGCUGAUAGAAAAGUUGUUCACAGAAAAAAAAAACAUUUUCAUUAUUAUAAAAUCAAUAAAUUCCUCGUUCCACUUAGAAUCUAAAAUAUUACUAGCCCAAUAUAUGUUGAUCGGUGCUUAAAUUAUAUACUGUUACGUGUUACAACUUUUUAAGUUUCCAACAGGAGAUGAUUGCACAGUUAAUCUGAACUUAUUUUAAUGUUAACAUU